CUGGGUCCAGCUGCCUCCCAGGUUCCCUCCCCUACAAACAAUUUCAGGGGAGGUGAGAUUGCAUGACAAAUUCAAUUAGAGAUAAGCCUGAGGGGGGAAGAAGCUGUCAAAACAGAUGAUUAAAAUGAAUGCAGUUUACAGCCAAGGGAAGCAACCAGCAUUAAGUCAUGCCCAGAAGCAAGGGAAAAUAACAUGCUAGAAACUAAGAGAAACCAUGUAUGCUGUGCUACUUGUAAGAAAUGCAAAUGCCAGGACCUGGGAUAAAACAUUCUGGUAUGGAGAAACAGGAUGAUAAAAAGGCCUGGGCAAGUCUCUCUCACAGAGCA
rnacentral:lncRNA from 1 species